UCUCUAUGGCCGUCACCCACGAGUCCCGGUCCUCCAGGCUCUGAGCCUCGAAAUGCCACGUCUGCCCGGUGAACGACACUAUGAUAAAGUCUGCAUUCUCUUCCUCUGCGAGUAGAAGGGAAACAAGUAAACACUCAAAGUAAAUCUACACGGCUGUGACGACUCGUGUGCUGACCUUGGGUGCCGACCACUAUGACUGGGAUGUCCGUGCGGUGUGCGCUCAGCUGGCUGUAGAGCUGGUAGAGCUCCUGGAAGCUGCCCUCAUUCUCCAGACUGAAGACCAGGAUCACUGCGUCAACCCAGCUGCUGAACUGAAGGAGGGAGAAGAUGAUGGAUGAUGAAGUCUGCAGGGUCGUGGGGGGUUAGAGCCGAUCCCAGUUGACACUGGGAGAGAGGCAGCGUACACCCUGGACAGAUCUUUGGACUGUGGAACCCAGAGAACCCGGAGAAAACCCACAUUGACAUGGGGAGAACAUGCUAACUCUACACAGAUGGGCCCCAAACCUGGGUUCAAACCCGCAACCAUCUUGUUGUGAGCUCACUGAGCUACGCUGUGACAAAAUGGGGCCCCCUCUGGUGGCUGUGGCUCAGGAGGUGGAGCGGUUGUCUACCAGUGGGAAGGUCAAUGGUUCUGGCCUCAUCAGUCUACAUGUCAGUGUCCUUGGACAAGGUACUGUACCCUAAACUGCUGUCAGGUUGUGCCAUUGUUGAGUCCUGUAAAUGUCUACCUGAUGAGCAGGUGGCAUCUUGUAUGGUAUGGUACUAUUACUGAUUGAUUAUUGUACAUACAAAACACGAUUAACUUACAAAAUAUGAUGCAUUUCUAAAGA